UGGGGAAUAUUGCACAAUGGAGGAAACUCUGAUGCAGCGACGCCGCGUGAACGAUGAAGGCUUUCGAGUCGUAAAGUUCUGUCCUUGGGGAAGAUAAUGACGGUACCCAAGGAGGAAGCCCCGGCUAACUACGUGCCAGCAGCCGCGGUAAUACGUAGGGGGCGAGCGUUGUCCGGAUUUAUUGGGCGUAAAGGGUUCGCAGGCGGCCUUUUAAGUCAGGUGUGAAAGAUCACGGCUCAACCGUGGUAAGCACUUGAAACUGGAGGGCUUGAGUUAAGGAGAGGAAAGUGGAAUUCCUAGUGUAGCGGUGAAAUGCGUAGAUAUUAGGAGGAAUACCAGUGGCGAAGGCGACUUUCUGGACUUAUACUGACGCUGAGGAACGAAAGCGUGGGGAGCAAACAGG
rnacentral:rRNA from 1 species